CUCGUAGGAGUAUAAUAUAUAAUAAUAUUGACUCUAGUUAAUGCAAAAUAUAUAUUUUUAACUGCACAUAUUCAUUAAUAAUAGGCUUAUUCAACGCAUUUUUGCACCACGCGAAAGAAUUUGGCAGAAAAAUGAGUCGUUUGUCCCGCAAACCGAGAUAUUACUGACGAUUCAAGUUACAGGUUAGGAAAUCUGUCAUACGCGUAAUCAUGAUCGCGUUCACGUGAUGCACAUCACAUGGAGCAUCACGUGACCGCAUAGAUGCUGAUAAUGUAGUAGCGAGCGUCACACUGUGUCGAAAAUGUGAAAGGGAAAAUUCCUGAGGACGACGACCAAGGAGUCAUAUCUUACAGAAAAAUGUAGAGAUUAGAAUUUGCAUCGCGAUAUCUCCGCUUGUACAGCACGGAGAGAAAAAAUAAAAACACUUUUAUAUAUGCAAUUUUUCCCAAGCUAUCGAAUGAGACGACUUUAAACUUGAUCGGUUCAGCCGUUGCUGAUAUCUGAUAAUCUCGAAUCGUUAUGCUUGAAUUCGCUGACUCGUGUUAAAGAGGCGUCGGUCUUUCUCGCUUUUUUUUUGAAUUGGCACGAGACGCGACCGCGCCUCUUGAUGUCAAAAUGACUGCAAAAUGAUCAUUAAAAGUCACUUUUUGUUCAAUUACGAUUUACUUUGAUGUCAUUUUGACUCGUUGAUCUGCUUGGAUUUAAUUUGUGUCGAAAUAAUGUAAAUGAAACUAUUGAAUUGUGUAAAAAGAUCAAAGAUCUAUACACAACUUAUUUAAUAAAUUGUAAAACAUCACCCAACUUCGACAAAGUAACAUCAACUGUAUCAGAUGCGCUAUGGUACAUUAUAAUCACCGUAGAUAAAGAUUCCAUCAUAACAUUCAUCUGUGACUUACAUAAUGUUCCAUACAAAAAACUUGGAUGGUACAGUUGGCUAAAUAAGAAUUUCAUGAAGGAUUACUUUAUUUAUUUCUUGUUCCUUAUGUUGGAGCAUUUUUAAGAAUAUAUUGUUACUACUUCGCUCAAUUCGUAAUUUGGAAUUUGGAUAAAUUUCCUAUACUUGCUUGGUUAAAAUUUGGGAAGAAUAAUGUUCAAUUAAAUCUUUAUCCUAAACACUAAAAUUUUUAAUUAUUGGACAUAAAGGAAUAAUUAUAAUAUUAAUGAAUUUCUAAAUGUUAUAAUUUUAAUUAAAAUAACUUUGACAAACGAUACAUUACGUAUUUGAAAUAAAUUUGUAAGAUCUA